rnacentral:pre_miRNA from 1 species
GAUAUACUCCCUCCGUCCCAAAAUUCUUGUCUUAGAUUUAUCUAAAUACGGAUGUAUCAAGUCACAUUUUAGUAUUAGAUACAUUCAUAUCUAGACAAAUCUAAGACAAUAAUUUUGGGACGGAGAGAGUAGACA